rnacentral:lncRNA from 1 species
GACUCCUCAAUUUUGUCAGUUUCUUCUUUCUUAUCUUGCUUUUGCAAAUAAUUCAAAUAUUCUUUGAGCAUCUCGGGAUUCUGCAUCAUUUGCUUUAUCAGAAAGUUGCUUGCAAUUUCCUCGGAUGCCAUAUCUGUCAUCUUUUCUUUAUCUUUCUUUGGAGUGGUUGGAGUAGGUGUAGUUGUUGGAGUAGUAGUUGGCUGUCUUGUCC